GGAUCCGGAGCUGUUCAUCCACCAGAGGGCGCUGGAGGCCUUGUUCCAUCUGAGGGCGUCUCCUGAACCACGCACCUGAAACCAUUCUGCCAUCAGGAGCUGUAUAACUGGAGGAGGCUGCUGACACUUCCCUGCCAGAUUGUUAGCUAGUUAUGGUACCGGCUCACUCCAGCUCUACUCUUCCUGUUUGCUUCCUGAAUUCUGAUCCAUCUGUGUCUCUGACCUUUUUCAGCUGAUUGACCUGAGACGUGCUGAAGAUAGAUCCAGCCCAGGACCCCUCCGAACCUACAGCUCGGCAGCCUGCUUCUGGCAGAACAGUUCAGACUUACCUGUCCGUCCUCCAACGCCGCCGCAGCCCGCAGCCCUCCGCGCCUCAAAACAGACUCCGGAUUUCCCAGGUUUUUCCCCCCAGUCCUUUCUCCUCCCGAUCGGAGCUGACCUGAGAUCCAGUCCCAAGCGCUCCCGGAUUGUUUAUCUGUUUUUUUUCCCCCCCUUCCCUUUGGUUGUAAUAAAUCUCUUUAAUCAA